GUCUACUGCGCAUGCGCCGACAACGGAGCGGCCGCCCGCUCGCGCUCAUGAUGACGUCGCGGAUAUAUUCUCCAUGCUCUACCUACAGUUGAAAAUGCUAUCUCAUCACGACUACAUCUUUCGCAGCAGAGCAGAGGCGUUUGGAGUUUUGUUUUGGGGUUUUUCCCCAUUUUCAUUUUGGAGCAAGAAAAUGACGCCGCAACUUUUACAAACCAUGAAAUUAUAAGUUGCAUUUUAUUUCAAACUAUUUUCAUUUUACAGCUUACUGAUUUAAACAUUACAAUAUUUGUGUCCACGUUAGAAUUUAUCUACUUCAUAAGUAAAACGAUGAAACAAAAUGAAAGUUUACAAACUCAGCUAUUUUUACUGACUAACUUAACCUACUUUAAAAGCAAAAAUGGUAUACUCCAAAUAAAUGCAAAUGCAACUAAAGUGGAGUUAGGUGUAUGCUUUUUGCAUAAAAUAAGCUGCUCAUCUUGAUUGGCGGUGUGUUAACAGGUGCAGAGCAAUAUCAGGACAAGGCCGAACAUGUAUUCCUCGAAUCUUUGGAGCUGAGACGUUGGCAACAGCUCUGGCCAGUAAUAUGUCAGAAUGAAUUUGCCGGCAAUGCUUUACUAAGAACUUGUCAACCCUCAUCACUGUGUUUUCCAUUGAAGCCUUUAUGUCGCCAAUACAUGCCUCAGCUCUAGCUGAGAUUGCUACAUCAUGGGGAUUAUUGAAAAACUGUUGCAUUACAUUUGUCCAGCAAACAAAAUCUUUGGCUAAAUCUAUCAAUCUAUUAGCAAAAUCAGAUAGAGCUUGUGCAAUUGGUACUAUUUGAUCUCCUAUAUGAGUGCACAUUAUGGAUAAAAAAAUGUCACUGGAAUCUCCGUCAGGUCUAUUGAUUUUCAAUGCUAUCGAUGAUGUUGCAUCAAGGGCCACUGCAUUUCCCAACUCGUUCGCGAUAUCAUUGUAAACACUUAUUUGGGAAGGUGACCAAUAUGGAGUUAAAUAAAGGUAC